UUGAAUUAAAAAAAUUUUCUUAAAAAAAAAAACUACUAGCCCACUUUGCACAUUCUUUCUUUUCCCCUAUUCUGCUCAUGUUAUUCUUCUUUUCUUUUCACGUGGACUAUAGCAGGAAAGGUCUUCAAUCUUUUUUCCUUUUUUUUCUUGAUUUUGUGUUCCCAAUUUCUUUGUGUUCUUGAUUGGUGGUUUUUGGGCUACUUAAUUGCGAUGGUGGUUGUUGUUUGAUUUGUUGGUAACUUGAUUUUCGCGUUAUUUAAGUAAAGUCACGGAACGAUUAAUCCACCAGAGGAUUUAGGCUUGAAAAGGUGUUGUUUACGUCCAAGGGUAAUGGAAUACUCAAUUUUUGGUAUUGCAUCAAAAUUAUUCAGGUAUGUAACAAAAACCCAAGAAAACAACGAACAAUGAAAGUCGAAAAAGGGGGGACUGUGGCAUCGACACAUGAUUGUGUGCCAGGUCGUGUGCUAGACUGUAUGAGACACACAGUCUGGGCCAAAUGUGCUGUUUGGGCCGCAACGAUGUAUGGGGCACACGAGUAUGUGUGAGAUCGUGUGCUAGACCGUGUGGGCCACAUGGGCUGGCCAUGUAAGCUAUGUGAGCCCAAGUUUUAAAAUUUUCCUUUAGGGUCAUAAACGUCGUUUGGAUCGAACGUGGACCUUCUGUAGGGUCUGUAUGUUAUAAUCUAGGCUAUAAAAUGUGUUUUCUGUUAAUCUGUUAUCAUAAAACUUGAUAUUAGUACGUGUAAAGUAUGUGUAAUUAAUAUGUAGUGUGAUAUGAUAUGUAUGAUCUAUGAUAUGGUUUGUUUGAUUUGUUACUCAUCAAACAUGUUUUGUAUAUGUUAUAUGAGCAUGUAUGAUAUAUAAAUUUUGGCAUUCGUUA